rnacentral:rRNA from 1 species
UACGUAGGCAGCAAGCGUUGUUCGGAAUUAUUGGGCGUAAAGGGUGCGUAGGCGGUUUGGUAAGUCUUAUGUGAAAUCUACAGGCUCAACUUGUAGUCUGCAUGAGAAACUGCCGGGCUUGAGUAUGGGAGAGGUGAGUGGAAUUCCUGGUGUAGCGGUGAAAUGCGUAGAUAUCAGGAGGAACACCUGUGGCGAAAGCGGCUCACUGGACCAUAACUGACGCUGAUGCACGAAAAGCUAGGGGGAGCAAACAGG